AUUGCAGGCAGCGGAAGCUGCUGUCAACGCCCCUGAAGAAUCCCUAUGAAGAGUCGAGCGGGGAUGUGAGCAGCAGCACGCCCCCACCUGACGAGGAUGGGGCGUCUUCUCGCCCCCAGCCUUGGUUUGUGGUUUUAAAGGAACACCAAGAGCUCAAGUGUGGCAGUCAGCCGGUGGGCCCGACGGACAUUCAGGCAGCAGACGUUGGUCAGCUUCCUUCUCUGGAACCUGGAUCGGUGCAGCCAACUUCAUAUGGAAAGUAGCCCCAACCUCAUGGAAUGGGCACAGAGUAAAGCUACUGGAGCCCACUAUUGACUAAUAACGCCUCCAGUCCCCAGGGAAUCGAACAAAACCUUCAUCUACCCUCCUCUGUCACACAGGCCUUUGCUGUGGAUAUCGAGAAGGCUCAUUCUUCUUCCGUCAGCUAAGCUGUAUGUCCACAAAGGGCUUCUGAUCCACUGUGCUGCAUCCAAUAAGAUCAAUGGAGCCAACUAUGAAAAAUCGGAAUUAAAGGGAAGGUCAAGGUGGACAAAUGAACAAAUUGUGUCAAUGAAGAGUGUAUUUUCUUUUCGAAAGUAGAGGGGAAAAAAACCAGAUUCUGGCUCCUUAGAUGUCUGUGCAAUCAACCAAGUAGAUAAAUAUAUAACGGUGCCUUUUGUUUGUUCCUUCGGGAGGUUCUAGGGCAGAUUUUCAAAGAAGAAUAAUCAGGAGACUCACUAGGUAACUCAUUAGUAACCAAAAUGGAGAUGGUAGUGAUUUGAAAAUUGUGUUAUCUUCAAUCAACAAAUCUAUAAAUAGAUUUCCCCCCUCUGCCCACCAGUCUGCAGUCACAGAAGAUAUCCGGUAAAAAUAGGUAGCCACACAGGUUUGGCCAAUUACAAGGUAUUGUUUUCUUUCACCUCAGCAGAACAUUCAGCUUAAUCUUAUGGAAUGAUUAGAAUAUAAAAUUACUGCUAGAGACACUCUACAACAAAGACACAAGAGACUAAUGAAACCAAUCCAGAUGACAAUCCUGGAAUUGCUGAGUUUCAAAGGAAAGGAUAGAGACAUGGAUUUAUCUGUGAGU